rnacentral:misc_RNA from 1 species
GAUGAAGAACGUAGCGAAAUGCGAUAAGUAAUGUGAAUUGCAGAAUUCAGUGAAUCAUCGAAUCUUUGAACGCACAUUGCGCCCCCCAGUAUUCUGGCGGGCAUGCCUGUUCGAGCGUCAUUUCAACCAUCAAGCCCUGCUUGUGUUGGGGUCCUGCGGCUGCCCGCAGGCCCUGAAAACCAGUGGCGGGCUCGCUAGUCACACCGAGCGCAGUAGCACAUCUCGCUCAGGGCGUGCGGCGGGCUCCAGCCGUUAAAGCACCCACCUUUCGCAAGGUUGACCUCGGAUCAGGUAGGAAUACCCGCUGAACUUAAGCAUAUCAAUAAGGGAGGA